GGAAGGAUCAUUAGAAAACGACUCAAUCCCGCAAGGGAUUGAAUCAACUCCAAGCUAUCAUAAGGAGCUCUCCACCUAGUGGAUCUCCUCUUAAGGUGUCGAAAUGGGAUGAGCAGUCGGCAACGGUUGGGACUAGACUAGGCACCGAAACCUAAUAUGUAAUAUGUGUCGUAAAUAUAAAUACAAGGCUUAGCGGUGGAUGAAUUGGUUCGGAUAUCGAUGAAGAUCGUAGCAAAUUGCGUUAAUCAGUGCGAACUGCAGUAACCUGCGAGUACUUUAUCAUUGAAUGCACGCUGCGCCCAGAGUUUUUCUCUGGGCGUGUUCGGUUGAGUUGCGACUAAAUAACACAAAUCCCUCAAGGGGGGUAUUGGCGCCUCUAUUAACACGGUAGAGCGCUUAAAGGUUGGCCCAAGCGAAAGAGCUAGGAAAUAAUUACUUUCGGUUCUACCGUUAUAGUAGUGAAAGCCUAUGCACCGACUAGCUUUAGCAUCUAGAUCGACUAUUUAGUCCAUUUAAAAUUCGCACUCAACUCGAGCACGACUACCCUUGGAAUUUAAGCAUAUAAUUACGGGGAGGAAAAGAAACUAACAAGGAUUCGCCUAGUAACUGCGAGUGAAGAGCGAAAAGCCCAUCCUGAAUCCGAGAUCACUAACCUGGUCGAGGAGUUGUAGGGUAUGAUUGAUCCUUUGGUUGUGAUGCGAGGCUCGAAGUUCGUUGGAAAGCGAUCCCACAGAAGGUGAAAGGCCUGUAGAGCUGACCGUUGCGCCGUUAUAGGGGUUAUAUCAUGAGUCGUACUAUUUGAGAGUAUAGUACUAAGCGGUGAUAUGCAUCAUCGAAGGCUAAAUAUUGAUCCGAAACCGAUAGCAAACAAGUAGCGUGAGCGAAAUUUGAAAAGAACUUUGGAAAGAGAGUUAAAAGUACCUGAAACCGCUAAGUCGAAAGGGUUGAGCCGAGCUGAACGAGUGCUGGUGGGAUUCAGUCUCCUAAUAGUGGCAAAGUUUGUGAGGUAGUAGUCACUCAGUGGCUGCGCCAAGCGGGCGGCGUUGCGAAAAGAGCUGCACUUCCCGAUCAGCUGUGCAUUGCCAUUUUGUUUUCAGUUAGAAGUGGGGCUCUCGGUAGCCACUUCGGUGGUGAAGGAGCCUUGUGAUGGCUGGGGGCAGAUUGAGGUUCCCGAAAGGGGUUUUAGUGGACGGUAUCCUUGGGUGAAGGCCCAGGCACUGUCAAAGUGAGUUCAGUUUACUGGGCUUGUGGAGAUAAGGCCUACGGUUGGAAGCCCUGACGUUUGCUAGCGGCAAUGAAAGCGAGGCUGAACCACCCGUCUUGAAACACGGACCAAGGAGUCUAACAUGCCUGCAAGUCGAUAGCUUUAAAAGCUGGAGGCGAAAUGAAAGUAAUGUUUCCCAAGGGUUACACCUGCAGGAAAGACCUAACCUCGGAUUCGUUCUGAGGUUUGUGUUAGAGCACUUGGAUUAGGACCCGAAAGAUAGCGAACUUUGCUUGCACAGAUUGAAGGCAGGGGAAACUCUGCUGGAGGAUCGUAGCGUUGUUGACGUGCAAAUCACUCGUCAGAUGUGAGUAAAGCGGCGAAAGACUAAUCGAGCUAUCUAGUAGCUGGUUCCGUC
rnacentral:misc_RNA from 1 species